AGUGAACGCUGGCGGCGUGCCUAAUACAUGCAAGUCGAACGGAGUGGCGCACGGGUGAGUAAUGUAUAGCUAAUCUGCCCUACACUAGAGGACAACAGUUGGAAACGACUGCUAAUACUCUAUAGUGUAGGAUGAGGCUAUAUUGUAUCAGCUAGUUGGUGAGGUAAUGGCUCACCAAGGCUAUGACGCAUAACUGGUCUGAGAGGAUGAUCACUCACACUGGAACUGAGACACGGUCCAGAAUCCUUCGGGAGGCGGCAGUAGGGAAUAGUGCUCAAUGGGGGAAUCCCUGAAGCAGCAUCGCGGCGUGGAGGAUGACACUUUGCGGAGCGUAAACUCCUUUUAUUAGGGAAGCGGUACCUAACGAAUAAGCACCGGCUAACUCCGUGCCAGCCGCCGCGGUAAUUC
rnacentral:rRNA from 1 species